GACGAACGCUGGCGGCGUGCUUAACACAUGCAAGUCGAGCGGUAAGGCCCUUUCGGGGGUACACGAGCGGCGAACGGGUGAGUAACACGUGGGUGACCUGCCCUCAGCUCUGGGAUAAGCCUGGGAAACCGGGUCUAAUACUGGAUAUGACUCCAUGACGCAUGUUGUGGGGUGGAAAGCCUUGUGCGGCUGAGGAUGGGCCCGCGGCCUAUCAGCUUGUUGGUGGGGUGAUGGCCUACCAAGGCGACGACGGGUAGCCGGCCUGAGAGGGCGACCGGCCACACUGGGACUGAGACACGGCCCAGACUCCUACGGGAGGGCAGCAGUGGGGAAGUCUUGCGCAAUGGGCGAAAGCCUGACGCAGCGACGCCGCGUGAGGGA
rnacentral:rRNA from 1 species